rnacentral:rRNA from 3 species
GAUGAACGCUGGCGGCGUGCCUAAUACAUGCAAGUCGAACGAGUUCUGAUUAUUGAAAGGUGCUUGCAUCUUGAUUUAAUUUUGAACGAGUGGCGGACGGGUGAGUAACACGUGGGUAACCUGCCCUUAAGUGGGGGAUAACAUUUGGAAACAGAUGCUAAUACCGCAUAAAUCCAAGAACCGCAUGGUUCUUGGCUGAAAGAUGGCGUAAGCUAUCGCUUUUGGAUGGACCCGCGGCGUAUUAGCUAGUUGGUGAGGUAACGGCUCACCAAGGCAAUGAUACGUAGCCGAACUGAGAGGUUGAUCGGCCACAUUGGGACUGAGACACGGCCCAAACUCCUACGGGAGGCAGCAGUAGGGAAUCUUCCACAAUGGACGCAAGUCUGAUGGAGCAACGCCGCGUGAGUGAAGAAGGCUUUCGGGUCGUAAAACUCUGUUGUUGGAGAAGAAUGGUCGGCAGAGUAACUGUUGUCGGCGUGACGGUAUCCAACCAGAAAGCCACGGCUAACUACGUGCCAGCAGCCGCGGUAAUACGUAGGUGGCAAGCGUUAUCCGGAUUUAUUGGGCGUAAAGCGAGCGCAGGCGGUUUUUUAAGUCUGAUGUGAAAGCCCUCGGCUUAACCGAGGAAGUGCAUCGGAAACUGGGAAACUUGAGUGCAGAAGAGGACAGUGGAACUCCAUGUGUAGCGGUGAAAUGCGUAGAUAUAUGGAAGAACACCAGUGGCGAAGGCGGCUGUCUGGUCUGUAACUGACGCUGAGGCUCGAAAGCAUGGGUAGCGAACAGGAUUAGAUACCCUGGUAGUCCAUGCCGUAAACGAUGAAUGCUAGGUGUUGGAGGGUUUCCGCCCUUCAGUGCCGCAGCUAACGCAUUAAGCAUUCCGCCUGGGGAGUACGACCGCAAGGUUGAAACUCAAAGGAAUUGACGGGGGCCCGCACAAGCGGUGGAGCAUGUGGUUUAAUUCGAAGCAACGCGAAGAACCUUACCAGGUCUUGACAUCUUUUGAUCACCUGAGAGAUCAGGUUUCCCCUUCGGGGGCAAAAUGACAGGUGGUGCAUGGUUGUCGUCAGCUCGUGUCGUGAGAUGUUGGGUUAAGUCCCGCAACGAGCGCAACCCUUAUGACUAGUUGCCAGCAUUUAGUUGGGCACUCUAGUAAGACUGCCGGUGACAAACCGGAGGAAGGUGGGGAUGACGUCAAAUCAUCAUGCCCCUUAUGACCUGGGCUACACACGUGCUACAAUGGAUGGUACAACGAGUUGCGAGACCGCGAGGUCAAGCUAAUCUCUUAAAGCCAUUCUCAGUUCGGACUGUAGGCUGCAACUCGCCUACACGAAGUCGGAAUCGCUAGUAAUCGCGGAUCAGCACGCCGCGGUGAAUACGUUCCCGGGCCUUGUACACACCGCCCGUCACACCAUGAGAGUUUGUAACACCCGAAGCCGGUGGCGUAACCCUUUUAGGGAGCGAGCCGUCUAAGGUGGGACAAAUGAUUAGGGUG